CCUACGGGAGGCUGCAGUGGGGAAUCUUGCGCAAUGGCCGAAAGGCUGACGCAGCGACGCCGCGUGGAGGAUGACGCCCUUCGGGGUGUAAACUCCUGUUGCCCGGGACGAAUGCCUGUUUCGACAGGAGUGACGGUACCGGGUGAGGAAGCACCGGCUAACUCUGUGCCAGCAGCCGCGGUAAGACGUAGGGGGCGAGCGUUGUUCGGAUUUAGUGGGCGUAAAGCACGCGUAGGCGUAUGGCUGUGUCGAAAUCCCUCGGCUUAACCGAGGUACCGCAUCCGAUACUGUCUGGCUCGAGUCUAGGAGAGGAAAGCGGAAUUCCCAGUGUAGCGGUGAAAUGCGUAGAUAUUGGGAGGAACACCGGUGGCGAAGGCGGCUUUCCGGACUAGUACUGACGCUGAGGCGCGAAAGCUAGGGGAGCGAACGGGAUUAGAUACCCUGGUAGUC
rnacentral:rRNA from 1 species